rnacentral:rRNA from 1 species
AUACGUAGGUGGCGAGCGUUGUCCGGAAUUACUGGGUGUAAAGGGCGUGUAGGCGGGAGUGCAAGUCAGAUGUGAAAUACCACGGCUCAACUGUGGGGGUGCAUCUGAAACUGUGCUUCUUGAGUACUGGAGAGGGAAGCGGAAUUCCUAGUGUAGCGGUGAAAUGCGUCGAUAUUAGGAGGAACACCAGUGGCGAAGGCGGCUUCCUGGACAGAGACUGACGCUGAGGCGCGAAAGCGUGGGUAGCGAACAGGAUUAGAUACCCUGGUAGUCCACGCCGUAAACGAUGGAUACUAGGUGUAGGAGGUAUCGACCCCUUCUGUGCCGGAGUUAACACAAUAAGUAUCCCACCUGGGGAGUACGGCCGCAAGGUUGAA